rnacentral:rRNA from 1 species
AUUGAACGCUGGCGGCAGGCCUAACACAUGUAAGUCGAGCGGGGUUUUCGGACCUAGCGGCGGACGGGUGAGUAACGCGUAGGAAGCUGCCCGAUAGAGGGGGAUACCAGUUGGAAACGACUGUUAAUACCGCAUAAUGUCUACGGACCAAAGUGUGGGACCUUCGGGCCACAUGCUAUCGGAUGCGCCUACGUGGGAUUAGCUAGUUGGUGAGGUAAUGGCUCACCAAGGCGACGAUCUCUAGCUGGUUUGAGAGGAUGAUCAGCCACACUGGAACUGAGACACGGUCCAGACUCCUACGGGAGGAAGCAGUGGGGAAUAUUGGACAAUGGGCGCAAGCCUGAUCCAGCCGUGCCGCGUGUGUGAAGAAGGCCUUCGGGUUGUAAAGCACUUUCAGCGAGGAGGAAGGGGUGUGUGUUAAUAGUACACACCUUUGACGUUACUCGCAGAAGAAGCACCGGCUAACUCUGUGCCAGCCGCCGCGGUAAAAC